GUAUAUCUUAAAAGCUAAUUGAUAAAACAUCAAAUUGGUUUCAAUUUUUUUUUGUAUAAAAUAUACAUUUAAAUCUCUCGGAAAUGUUUUUGUCUUCAGCAUCGCUUGCAUUAUUAAAACAUAGGGAAGGAAAAAAAGUCAUGGAGGGUAAUGAACUCUAUACCUUAAUGGUAACCUCUACGGAAAAUUAAAUGUUCCAAGUGUGCAAUAACAGAGGAAAAUUAUUGUUGAUCCAGCUUGAUCCCGAUAUUGUGUGUUUUCAUAGAAACAGCAAGGCUAUGAGCUCAAAUGAGAUGUUUUGGUGUAACACGUAAAAUUUGGAAGGACCCACUUGUAAAAUAAUAUAGCAGUGGAAAAAAUUUAAGAGAGUUGCUAUGCACGAUUUAAGGAAUAUAACAAAAAUAUACUUUUGCUGCUUUCCUUAAAAUAUAAUAUAUUAUCUCAAGAAAGUAACUGUCACAGGAAUAAAAGUCAAUAUGGGAGACAA